CAGAUCUAGCUUGCUAGAUGCUGACGAGUGGCGCACGGGUGAGUAACGCGUAUACAAUCUACCUUUAACUGAGGGAUAGCCCAGAGAAAUUUGGAUUAAUACCUCAUAGUAUUAUAGAGAGGCAUCUUUUUAUAAUUAAAACUCCGGUGGUUAAAGAUGAGUAUGCGUCCUAUUAGCUUGUUGGUAAGGUAAAAGCUUACCAAGGCUACGAUAGGUAGGGGGCCUGAAAGGGUGAUCCCCCACACUGGUACUGAGACACGGACCAGACUCCUACGGGAGGCAGCAGUGAGGAAUAUUGCACAAUGGAGGAAACUCUGAUGCAGCCAUGCCGCGUGCAGGAUGAAUGCCCUAUGGGUUGUAAACUGCUUUUAUACAAGAAGAAACCUCGGUACGUGUACCGACUUGACGGUAUUGUAUGAAUAAGCACCGGCUAACUCCGUGCCAGCAGCCGCGGUAAUACGGAGGGUGCAAGCGUUAUCCGGAUUUAUUAGGUUUAAAGGGUCCGCAGGCGGAAUAUUAAGUCAGUGGUGAAAGCCUACAGCUCAACUGUAGAACUGCCAUUGAAACUGUUAUUCUUGAGUAUGGAUG
rnacentral:rRNA from 1 species